AUUGAACGCUGGCGGCAGGCCUAACACAUGCAAGUCGAGCGAGCGGCGGACGGGUGAGUAAUGCCUAGGAAUCUGCCUGGUAGUGGGGGAUAACGUCCGGAAACGGGCGCUAAUACCGCAUACCAUCAGAUGAACCCAUAUGGGAUUAGCUUUUAGGUGGGGUAACGGCUCACCUAGGCGACGAUCCCUAGCUGGUCUGAGAGGAUGAUCAGCCACACUGGGACUGAGAAACGGCCCAGACUCCUACGGGAGGCAGCAGUGGGGAGUAUUGCACAAUGGGCGAAAGCCUGAUGCAGCCAUGCGGCGUGUAUGAAGAAGGCCUUAGGGUUGUAAAGUACUUUCAGUCGGGAGGCGUUACCGACAGAAGAAGCACCGGCUAACUCCGUGCCAGCCGCCGCGGUAAUUC
rnacentral:rRNA from 1 species